UACAGAGGUCCCAAGCGUUGUUCGGAUUCACUGGGCGUAAAGGGUGCGUAGGUGGUGAGGUAAGUCGGAUGUGAAAUCUCUGAGCUCAACUCAGAAAUGGCAUUGGAAACUACCUUGCUAGAGGAUUGGAGGGGGGACUGGAAUUCUCGGUGUAGCAGUGAAAUGCGUAGAGAUCGAGAGGAACACCAGUGGCGAAGGCGAGUCCCUGGACAAUUCCUGACGCUGAGGCACGAAAGCUAGGGGAG
rnacentral:rRNA from 1 species